AUACGGAGGGUGCAAGCGUUAUCCGGAUUUAUUGGGUUUAAAGGGUGCGUAGGCGGAUCGGUCAGUCAGUGGUGAAAUCCCAUAGCUUAACUAUGGAACUGCCAUUGAUACUGCCAAUCUCGAGUAUAGUUGAAGUGGAUGGAAUGUAACAUGUAGCGGUGAAAUGCAUAGAUAUGUUACAGAACACCGAUUGCGAAGGCAGUUCACUAAACUAUUACUGACGCUGAGGCACGAAAGCGUGGGGAGCGAACAGGAUUAGAAACCCUUGUAGUCC
rnacentral:rRNA from 1 species